rnacentral:sRNA from 1 species
UCGGUCUCAGUCUUUUGGUUUUUGGGAGGAUUGUAUUCUUGAACUAUUUUUUUUUUCUUGGGAGGAAAGAUGGACGGGGAUGUCCAUGGCACUCGGUGAAUGGACAACGCUUUACUUUUUGCUAGCAGUCAUUUGAUUCAAGCGGUGAUGUGUUGGAGCAGCCACCGAGAGGAAGAGAAUGGUGUGCACGGGAAUGUGAGCUGGAAGUAGAUUAGGUUGGAGAUGUCUUUUCUUUGAGAAAUGAAGAAGUAUAUUAGAUAGGAGUAGGUGUCACGGCUUGGGAGGAUGCACACAUUCUAACCUUUGAUUAAAGCCCUUUAUUGCUUCUUUGCUGGAAUGGAAAAAGCACCGUGAUUAAUACUUGGAGAAUAAAGUCUAGAUGAUGGGACGGACCAAGACUUGGCAGCAUUCAUUUCCUUUAUUUUUGAGAAUGAAGAGGUGAUUAGAUGGGGAUAGGAGUAGUCGUACGGUGGUUGAGUUGAAAGAACAAAGCUGAUUGAUCUUUGCUUGGAGAAAUGAAACGUGCGUGCAGCAACAUUGGAAGAAUGGAGAGGCAUACGGAUAUUGAAAGAAGUGUGGUGUCCUGCACUCAAUAACUUUGCUGGAAAGGG